rnacentral:lncRNA from 1 species
GACUGUUUAGCUACUUGUCAAAUCACUUGGGUCAGAAUAUCCAUACUAUGAUCUACCAUCACCAGAGUUAUGCCAGCAAAGCUGUUACCAACUGCUAACUGCAUCACACACUAACUAAUUUGAAAGACCUGAGAAAUUACACAAAUGCCCCCUGAGGUGGUCUGCUGGAGGCUUUUCACAUUCCAUGUCACACUGUUGCAAAUAGAGCUAGUAGCCACUAGAGGGAAGGAGACUGCUGGCUUUCCCAAGUGUUUCACCGUGGAGCAUGAAGGUGAAGAAGCUGUCACAGGACUGGUUGCCCAAGGAAAAUCUUUAAAAUAUGGUGGUAUGAAGGUGGGGAAACCAAGAGGAUUAGAUGUCCGCCAGAGUUCAUGUAGGCCUGGCAAUGGGAGGAGAAAAACAAAACGAAGCAUAAACCUACCAGCAUCACAGUGUUGUAGUGAUGAUAAAAUGAAGAUGAGAACCUCG